rnacentral:sRNA from 1 species
AACUAUUCGAAAGUAAAUUGCAACAAAUUUGCUACUUCAUGGAUAUAGUUUUUAAUGGAUAUGCUAAACUAAGUUAGUUUUGUUUUAGAUAUACCAAACUCCAAACCCAUAAUCCGGGAGAUGCAAAUCGAAGACUUUCUCUUAUUUUCUCUUCUUUGUUUUUGCUAUUGGAUAUUAUUCCGUUUUUUGUUUCCACUCUCUUUAAGUAAGUGAGUCAGAGUGCUUUAUAUAAUUGUUCUGUAGAGACCAUCCAACUUUUGGUCAAUGAGCCGACAUGUUGUGCAACUUUUACAUCUCUAGUAAACUUUUUCAUCCUCCAGUACAAAAUUGUCCCUUAGUUUAGAUCGAUGAUUAGUCCGAAUCGGUUCAAAAACUCGAUGCUUCUACAUGAUUUAGUAGUUGUGAUUGAAGUCUAGCAU